UUUAUUGAGAGUUUGAUCCUGGCUCAGGACGAACGCUGGCGGCGUGCUUAACACAUGCAAGUCGAGCGAUGAAGCUCCUUCGGGAGUGGAUUAGCGGCGGACGGGUGAGUAACACGUGGGUAACCUGCCUCAUAGAGGGGAAUAGCCUUUCGAAAGGAAGAUUAAUACCGCAUAAGAUUGUAGUACCGCAUGGUACA
rnacentral:ncRNA from 1 species